rnacentral:rRNA from 1 species
GACGAACUCUGGCGGCGCGCCUAACACAUGCAAGUCGAACGAGCGAGAGGAGGUUUACUUUCUCAAGCGAGUGGCGAACGGGUGAGUAACGCGUGAGGAACCUGCCUCAAAGAGGGGGACAACAGUUGGAAACGACUGCUAAUACCGCAUAAGCCCACGGCUCGGCAUCGAGCAGAGGGAAAAGGAGCAAUCCGCUUUGAGAUGGCCUCGCGUCCGAUUAGCUGGUUGGUGAGGUAACGGCCCACCAAGGCGACGAUCGGUAGCCGGACUGAGAGGUUGAACGGCCACAUUGGGACUGAGACACGGCCCAGACUCCUACGGGAGGCAGCAGUGGGGAAUAUUGCACAAUGGGGGAAACCCUGAUGCAGCGACGCCGCGUGGAGGAAGAAGGUCUUCGGAUUGUAAACUCCUGUUGUUGAGGAAGAUAAUGACGGUACUCAACAAGGAAGUGACGGCUAACUACGUGCCAGCAGCCGCGGUAAAACGUAGGUCACAAGCGUUGUCCGGAAUUACUGGGUGUAAAGGGAGCGCAGGCGGGAAGACAAGUUGGAAGUGAAAUCCAUGGGCUCAACCCAUGAACUGCUUUCAAAACUGUUUUUCUUGAGUAGUGCAGAGGUAGGCGGAAUUCCCGGUGUAGCGGUGGAAUGCGUAGAUAUCGGGAGGAACACCAGUGGCGAAGGCGGCCUACUGGGCACCAACUGACGCUGAGGCUCGAAAGUGUGGGUAGCAAACAGGAUUAGAUACCCUGGUAGUCCACACUGUAAACGAUGAUUACUAGGUGUUGGAGGAUUGACCCCUUCAGUGCCGCAGUUAACACAAUAAGUAAUCCACCUGGGGAGUACGACCGCAAGGUUGAAACUCAAAGGAAUUGACGGGGGCCCGCACAAGCAGUGGAGUAUGUGGUUUAAUUCGACGCAACGCGAAGAACCUUACCAAGUCUUGACAUCCUGCGACGGUGCUGGAAACAGUACUUUCCUUCGGGACGCAGAGACAGGUGGUGCAUGGUUGUCGUCAGCUCGUAUCGUGAGAUGUUGGGUUAAGUCCCGCAACGAGCGCAACCCUUAUGGUCAGUUACUACGCAAGAGGACUCUGGCCAGACUGCCGUUGACAAAACGGAGGAAGGUGGGGAUGACGUCAAAUCAUCAUGCCCUUUAUGACUUGGGCUACACACGUACUACAAUGGCGUUAAACAAAGAGAAGCAAGACCGCGAGGUGGAGCAAAACUCAGAAACAACGUCCCAGUUCGGACUGCAGGCUGCAACUCGCCUGCACGAAGUCGGAAUUGCUAGUAAUCGCAGAUCAGCAUGCUGCGGUGAAUACGUUCCCGGGCCUUGCACA